rnacentral:tRNA from 1 species
GCGUCGGUGGUUCAGUGGUAGAAUACUCGCCUGCCACGCGGGUGACCCGGGUUUGAUUCCCGGCCGACGCA